rnacentral:rRNA from 1 species
UGGGGAAUAUUGCACAAUGGGGGAAACCCUGAUGCAGCAACGCCGCGUGCGGUAUGACGGCCUUCGGGUUGUAAACCGCUUUCAGCCAUGACGAAGCUUUUGUGACGGUAGUGGCAGAAGAAGCACCGGCUAACUACGUGCCAGCAGCCGCGGUGAUACGUAGGGUGCGAGCGUUGUCCGGAAUUAUUGGGCGUAAAGAGCUUGUAGGCGGUUUGUCGCGUCGAAAGUGUAAACUCAGUGCUUAACGCUGAGCCUGCUUUCGAUACGGGCUGACUAGAGGAAGGUAGGGGAGAAUGGAAUUCCCGGUGGAGCGGUGGAAUGCGCAGAUAUCGGGAGGAACACCAGUGGCGAAGGCGGUUCUCUGGACCUUUCCUGACGCUGAGAAGCGAAAGCGUGGGUAGCAAACAGG